UGGUGCUCUCUGUUUUUCCUGCUCCAGACUCUCCACUUAAGUCAUCCAUCAGUGAUACCAGACAAACAAAGACUUUCAAAAGACUGGAGGCGGAUCUGAUCAGCUGUGUAGAUGGGCAGCAGCUGGUAAGGGUUGACAGCGACCAGGAUGGAGCCUGUGGAGACAACAGCCAGCCCCUGAAGGUGAUGAUGUGACGGCGCUCUCGUAGCUCAGAUGUUGAAGGAGGACAAUAAAAAGAGUAUCAGUGUUCGUCACAAGAGAACGAACGGUCAUGUUGGAAACAACAUGCUCCCAGAGCCUAACUUGGUUACUGGUGAGUCCGAGUGAGGCCACUGAGCCAGUAACACAAAGCAAUUUGACUUGAGCUUCACAAACGUGAUACUUCCAAUGAGACAAUUUCUACAAAAAGUAACCACGACUAACUCGCACCUUCCUCACUGUCUGAUUUAUGACUGAAAACGUUUGACAAGCAUACAGCUGAGAAGUUCAUGCUUCUUUCUGUCGCUAUGUCAGGUGAUGAUCAUGAAAAACUUCCUUCUGUAGUCAUGCUUUAGGUCAAAGAAUCGACUCACCCUUCCACCACAGUUUGUCUUCAGAAUAGACAGUAGAGACAAGAAGAAAUGGUAAAAAAUAAAGGGGAAUAAGCAAGAAAUUUAGAU